GGGCGGGCGGGCGGGCGGGCAGGCAGGCAGGUCCCCGCCGGGUGAUGAGGGGCUGCGGCUGGAAGGUGGUGACGGCUCUGUCGUGUGUUGGCGUGCCCGGGGGCCGUGGGGAAAAGGCCUCUGCCCGCUCCUCGGGCGGACAGGAGGGCCGAGGGUAGGACGGAGGCGAGCUGGGAGCGGCUCGGCCGCGUUGAGACCUCCCCACGGUGCACUCUUCGCUCUUUGCAAAUAACCAUCCCAAUGCUGCAGCUGGCCUGAAAGGACACACUCAGGCAGAGAUUUAAAGAAGGAAAGCCACCCAGAAGAGCAGGCUGCAUCGACUGGCAUUUUCCAUAGAACAGCUACACCAUUACAGCUGUUAAGUACGAUGUGCUUGGCGGAGCUGUGAUCAUAAGGUCCCCAGAGCAGGCUGCUGAGGUCUUCGCGGGACCCUGCGGCACAGCCCAGACCCGCUCCUGCGGCGGCAGCAGCGCAGGACCAUGAGCCACCUCAUCACCCCGGGCUGGUCUCCAGCAACCUGCCGGGCUGGCUGGAAGGGCACGAGGAAGCAGAAUGUAGUUAAAUCAUGUGUGGUAAUUUGUCUUGCUAGUAGCAAUUAAAAUUAAUAAUAAAUAAAAAUUU